GACACCCUGCAGUGUUCGAGGUGCUUUCAAUAACUGCUCUUUGCCUUGGAAUAAACACGGGAGCUGAACCCGUCGCGGAAGAUGCCAGGCCGUAAAUCGGAAGGCAGACGCUGUGGCGGAGGUUCCCACCUAAACCUACAAAGGUCUUGAGCCUUUGAGCAUACGGCACAGGUGGGGUGUCA
rnacentral:other from 1 species